CGGGGCAGAACUAGCAGGAUUCCCCUAGUAACUGCGAGUGAAGCGGGAAAAGCUCAAAUUUAAAAUCUGGCGGUCUUUGGCCGUCCGAGUUGUAGUCUGGAGAAGCGUCUUCCGCGUUGGACCGUGUACAAGUCUCUUGGAACAGAGCGUCAUAGAGGGUGAGAAUCCCGUCUUUGACACGGACUACCAAUGCUUUGUGAUGCGCUCUCAAAGAGUCGCGUUGUUUGGGAAUGCAGCGCAAAAUGGGAGGUGAAUUCCUUCUAAAGCUAAAUAUUGGCGAGAGACCGAUAGCGAACAAGUACCGUGAGGGAAAGAUGAAAAGCACUUUGGAAAGAGAGUUAAACAGUACGUGAAAUUGCUAAAAGGGAAACGCUUGAAGUCAGUCGCGUCGUCCGGAACUCAGCUUUGCUUCGGCUUAGUGCACUUUCCGGUUGACGGGCCAGCAUCGAUUUUGACCGCUGGAAAAGGGCUGGAGGAAUGUGGCACCUUCGGGUGUGUUAUAGCCUUCAGUCGCAUACAGCGGUUGGGAUCGAGGAACGCAGCGCGCCUUAUGGCUGGGGUUCGCCCACAUUCGCGCUUAGGAUGCUGGCAUAAUGGCUUUAAACGACCCGUCUUGAAACACGGACCAAGGAGUCUAACAUGCCUGCGAGUGUUUGGGUGGAAAACCCGAGCGCGUAAUGAAAGUGAAAGUUGAGACCUCUGUCGUGGAGGGCAUCGACGCCCGGACCUGACGUUUUCUGAAGGAUCCGCGGUAGAGCAUGUAUGUUGGGACCCGAAAGAUGGUGAACUAUGCCUGAAUAGGGUGAAGCCAGAGGAAACUCUGGUGGAGGCUCGUAGCGAUUCUGACGUGCAAAUCGAUCGUCAAAUUUGGGUAUAGGGGCGAAAGACUAAUCGAACCAUCUAGUAGCUGGUUCCUGCCGAGUC
rnacentral:rRNA from 1 species